UACGGAGGGUGCAAGCGUUAUCCGGAUUCACUGGGCUUAAAGGGUGCGUAGGUGGGUCUGUAAGUCGGAUGUGAAAACUCCAGGCUCAACUUGGAGACGCCAUUCGAUACUGCGAUGACUUGAGUCCGGUAGGGGAGUGUGGAAUUCCUGGUGUAGCGGUGAAAUGCGCAGAUAUCAGGAGGAACACCAGCGGCGAAGGCGGCACUCUGGGCUGGAACUGACGCUGAGGCACGAAAGCGUGGGGAUCAAACAGG
rnacentral:rRNA from 1 species